CGGUCCAGACUCCUACGGGAGGCAGCAGUAGGGAAUCUUCCGCAAUGGGCGAAAGCCUGACGGAGCAACGCCGCGUGAGUGAUGAAGGUCUUCGGAUCGUAAAACUACUGUUAUUAGGGAAGAACAUAUGUGUAAGUAACUGUGCACAUCUUGACGGUACCUAAUCAGAAAGCCACGGCUAACUACGUGCCAGCAGCCGCGGUAA
rnacentral:rRNA from 1 species